rnacentral:rRNA from 1 species
AUUGAACGCUGGCGGCAUGCCUUACACAUGCAAGUCGAACGGCAGCACGGGUGCUUGCACCUGGUGGCGAGUGGCGAACGGGUGAGUAAUACGUCGGGACGUACCUUAUCGUGGGGGAUAACGCAGCGAAAGCUGUGCUAAUACCGCAUACGCCCUGAGGGGGAAAGCGGGGGAUCGAAAGACCUCGCGCGAUUAGAGCGGCCGAUGCCUGAUUAGCUUGUUGGUGGGGUAAAAGCCCACCAAGGCGACGAUCAGUAGCUGGUCUGAGAGGACGAUCAGCCACACUGGGACUGCGACACGGCCCAGACUCCUACGGGAGGCAGCAGUGGGGAAUUUUAGACAAUGGGGGCAACCCUGAUCCAGCAAUGCCGCGUGAGUGAAGAAGGCCUUCGGGUUGUAAAGCUCUUUUGUCAGGGAAGAAACACCGGCUCUAACACAGUCCGGGAAUGACGGUACCUGAAGAAUAAGCACCGGCUAACUACGUGCCAGCCGCCGCCGUAA